rnacentral:rRNA from 1 species
UACGGGGGGGGCAAGCGUUGUUCGGAAUUACUGGGCGUAAAGGGUUCGUAGGUGGCUUGCUAAGUCAGACGUGAAAUCCCUCAGCUUAACUGGGGAACUGCGUCUGAGACUGGUGAGCUUGAGUGCAGGAGAGGAACGCGGAAUUCCAGGUGUAGCGGUGAAAUGCGUAGAUAUCUGGAGGAACACCGGUGGCGAAGGCGGCGUUCUGGACUGCUACUGACACUGAGGAACGAAAGCCAGGGGAGCAAACAGG